GUCACCGUAGUGUAGUGGAUAGCACAGCCUGUCACCCAAUUGCACGCAACCUCGGUUCGACUGCGAGCGGGGCCU